ACUUCAUGUUGCUGGCGUUGUUGGAAAAAUUGUACAAGGUGGAACAAAAAAAUGCGCAGUCUAAUAACUAAAGGUAUAUGAAAGGAUUAUAGCAUUAAAAUUGAGACACGAAAGGAACACAAUCAGCUAGAAGAACUCUCCCAUAAUGAAUACAAUGCUUUACGUAAGAUAGCACGAAUACAUGGGAAAAACUUCAAAAAACGUGACGAUCCUUCAUCGUCGUCAAUAACAAUAGAAAAAAUUAGAAAUAUUGUUCAUUAAAGGAAUCUGAAAAUGAAGCCUUUAUAAAUAUUUGUUCCCUCUGUAAAGAAUGAAAUUUUUACUAUGAAUAAAUGAAACGAUCAAUGGAUGUAAGAUAAAAAACUGUUAAUGGUGGUUUCAGCCUUCUGAAAUUCUCAAUGGUAAGUUCGUUGCAAGGCAGUCAUUAAACGGUUUCAACAUUCUUGAUAAGAUAAUCGAGUACAGCUGACGUGCCUCGAGACUAUUAGCUCCGAUGUUGGGAAUUUUUCGAGUUAUAAUUACAGAAUGAAUUCUCAAUCACGAAGAACAGUAAAAAUAAAAACCACAAAAUCAUCGA